AGAGUCGGCGGUCGGAGCGGGGUGACGAGGACCUCAUGCACGAGGCGGCGAAGGACCGAUGGCAGAGAACCGAGUGCGGCGCGAGGCGGUGGCCGCGGCCAGCGGGUGGGUGCGUCUGGGCGCAGGCGGGCACCGGGGCCCAGGGUCUGGUCCUCCUCCUUGUGGCGGGUCCAGGGCGCGGCCGCCUCGCCCAGCCCCUAGGCGCACUCGUCCCGGCGCGGAGGCGGCGGCGACAAGGCAGUCGCUGGGUGCCGCGUCUGCCGGCGGAGACGCAGACCGACGCGCAAGAGGCGACCGCGGCUGCCUCGGCUCCCAGCUCUGUUAACUGCGCGGAGUACUUUCGACUUUGGAGAUAGGAGGGCGAUCGCCUCCCCCACCCACCGCCUCCGCCCACCACCCACCGCCUCCGCCCCUCCGAGCAACUUUUCCCGGUGCCUGCGAGCUCCCCCUCCGCGCCGAGCCGAACGUCCCGGCCCGCCGCGCUUCGUGCCGCCGCGCGCGCAGGGAAGGCCGCUUCUCCUUCAAAGCUGGCACGGCCGCGAGUCCGGAACAAUAGUCGGGGUGUCCCGAAUGCCAGGAGCACGGCCACUGCCCGCCGGGCUGUGGGUGGCACAGGAAUGGGGGUUGCGUGGUGGAUGCAGAGCGGGGUGCAUCCCUGGAUGGCAUCGCUGGAGCGCUCGCCGCUCCGGCGACAUCGCGAGCGGUGCAAACCGGGCCGCCUGGAGCCCGUGACGCGGUGGCGGCGAGGGCGGUGGGGCUGCCUGUCCUCGGGCUACAGGACUGGGGCUCCUGGGGACCCCAAGCUGCUCGAGCCCAGGGCUGCUGGCGCCAACAGAGCUGUGCCCUGAGGACCCGGCCUCCCCGCCCGGGGGGAGGCCGCACAGGAGCGUCCCCAGCAGGUCCCGCGAAGGCGUAACAGAGCCACAAACUUUUGCCGACUCCCGCGGCCGCGGCCGCCGGCAGCCCGACUCCGGCCGCGGUGCUCAUUUAAGGUGGCGCGGGCACUAGCCGAGCAGGCUGGCCUCUGGCCGCGCUUUUGUCCCUGCGAUUCCGCUUGGGCGCGCUGCCUCCUUAAGGAAAAGCACGUGGGCAGGGGCCGCAGCCCCCGCGAGAUACCCGGGGCGUCGGCGGACAUUAGCCGCUAGGACCUUAGGCGAGAAAAUGUGGACGCAUCCCCGCCGGCCCUGAGGCCAGAGAAUCCCCCCUCAACUGGUUGCACCUCAUGUCCCUCCCGCACACGUUGACUCUCCCUCCUAAUCCCCAGGACCCCGAGGGCUCUCCCACAUCUCCCGCAGCAAGAGCCACCGAUCCCCCUUAAGAAGCGUUGACUGUACGGCGGCGCCAGAGGGCCAAACUAAGUUCGGUUUCGGGAAACGCUCUCGGGAGCAGUUCUGUAAAUCCCUGCUGGGAGCAGAGACUGCGAAAAGCUGAGUCCGCCGAUCGUGCCCGGGACAAGGCUGCCUUCCACUCGCCCUCGCCGCAUCUACCUGGUAGGCGGCAUGCGCACGGGCUUAGAGGCUUGAGAGCCUCUGGAAGAGAAAGGGUCCCAGGAAGGAAACCUGCCCCCGGCCUAAGUGUCGGCGCCCAGAUCACCACGAACCCCGCACCUAGGCGCCGCCCACCAAGUUCCAAAGAAGUCCGAGGCGACCUGGGAGUCGGUCGGAUCCCAGCCGAGAAAAGAAACAAGCAGGAUAGCAAUUCUUAGGGGAGCCACCCUGGGAGUUUUAGGCAGCGUUUGCCUUUCCCUGGUUUUCUUCACCAAGCCCCAUCCUCCCCCCGCAUACCACCCCCAGUCAAAAGAGUGGGAGAAAAUGCACAGUUCGAAGUCGGUGAGAGCAAAAAUGGGUCUAGUAAAUCAACCCGUGGUGGUAGCUAAAAGGUUUGGGGCUGCAAAGAAACAAACUGUAAGUUUUGAGCAACAAACUUUUUCUUCAAUCUGUAAUAUGUCGAAAUGGGAAGGGGGUGUUGCAAAAGCCAACUACCACUGUCAAACUUAGCCCGUUUACAACAUGGGGAAAGGCGUAUUUCUUACUAAUAUCUCAACAACGAUAACAAUGCUGUAUCCUUCCUUACCUUGAUGUUGAACUGCGAAUCCUCCUCCGGAUCAAUGUCCAGGAACUUAGAAGAAUUGGUGAUAUUAGGAGUUCAGUACUUCUGGAAAAAAAUGCAAAUGGUUUAGCCAGGAUCUUUCCUGUCUGAUUCGUCACUAUUAUUAUAUCUGAUGAUGCGAAUGGUUGGAGCGAUUCAAUCCUAAGUCAUUAAUGAGCUAUUUUAUAAACACCACUGUCUGAAGAUCUUCAUUUACAUUUUGCUAAGGAUCACUUCGCUAACCUCACAGGCUUGUGUCAACAGCAUGAUUUGCAGGACUUCAGUUACACUCUUAUAAACAACACGGCUGUAUUGUUAAUCGGUUAAUAUUUUAUAAAGUGUAAAUAUUUUAUUAUGUUUUGAAGGGAACUAUUGAUUCUAAAUUAUUAAACCCCUGAGAAGGACUAUUUAAAUGAAAUAUACAAUUAAGUACAAUUAAAUGUACAUUGUGGUUAGUUUGUUUUCAGAUUCUGCACCCUUUUAAAUUCAUUGCUUUUCUCUUUACUGGAGUUUCCUCUUGUCCAUUUCUGAUACUGAAAAAAAUCUAUCAUGUUAGGAAAAAGCCUAAAUUAUUUAAAGUUGCAUUAAACUUAGAGGAAAAUGUCAAAUACGAUUAAUUAUGACCAGAAAUGUAUUUUGGAUGUUUGUAGAGUUGUAUUUCAUAUCACAUUUUACAAAUUUCUUCCGAUUUAAAGGAGAGUUCUAGGAAGUUUUGUGAUCUAUGUCCGGUGUGGGUUUUUGUCCUCUCGAGUUUUGUCUCUAAUAAAGGCCUUUUUUGUUUCAAAUUACAUACGCUUUUUACUGCACAAUUUUUGUAUUGACCUUAUUUCAACUGAAGCGAUUAUUUCCAGCAGGUUUAAUUUCGACAAUAAGAUAUAUUUUAAUAGUUUUACCUUUCGCUAGAAUUUUGUAUUGUUUAAAACAGUAAAUGAAUAAAUUUGCUGAUGAUUCAA
rnacentral:lncRNA from 1 species